GUACAGCGAAACUGCGAAUGGCUCAUUAAAUCAGUUAUCGUCUAUUUGAUAGUACCUUACUACUCGGAUAACCGUGGUAAUUCUAGAGCUAAUACGUGCUGAAAACCCCGACUUCGGAAGGGGUGUAUUUAUUAGAUUAAAAGCCAAUGCCCCCCGGGGCCCCUUGGUGAUUCAUGAUAACUCCUCGAAUCGCACGGCCUUGCGCCGGCGAUGGUUCAUUCAAAUUUCUGCCCUAUCAACUUUCGACGGCUGGGUCUUGGCCAGCCGUGGUGACAACGGGUAACGGAGGGUUAGGGCUCGACCCCGGAGAAGGAGCCUGAGAAACGGCUACUACAUCCAAGGAAGGCAGCAGGCGCGCAAAUUACCCAAUCCCGACGCGGGGAGGUAGUGACAAUAAAUACUGAUACAGGGCUCUUUCGGGUCUUGUAAUUGGAAUGAGUACAAUUUAAUUCCCUUAACGAGGAACAAUUGGAGGGCAAGUCUGGUGCCAGCAGCCGCGGUAAUUCCAGCUCCAAUAGCGUAUAUUAAAGUUGUUGCAGUUAAAAAGCUCGUAGUUGAACCUUGGGCCUGGCUGGCCGGUCCGCCUCACCGCGUGCACUGGUCCGGCCGGGCCUUUCCCUCUGGGGAACCGCAUGCCCUUCGCUGGGCGUGCCGGGGAACCAGGACGUUUACUUUGAAAAAAUUAGAGUGUUCAAAGCAGGCUUAUGCUCGGAUACAUUAGCAUGGAAUAAUGGAAUAGGACGUGCGGUUCUAUUUUGUUGGUUUCUAGGACCGCCGUAAUGAUUAAUAGGGACAGUCGGGGGCAUCCGUAUUCAGUUGUCAGAGGUGAAAUUCUUGGAUCUACUGAAGACGAACUACUGCGAAAGCAUUUGCCAAGGAUGUUUUCAUUAAUCAGGAACGAAAGUUAGGGGAUCGAAGACGAUCAGAUACCGUCGUAGUCUUAACCAUAAACUAUGCCGACUAGGGAUCGGACGGUGUUGCUUUUUGACCCGUUCGGCACCUUGCACGAAAGUACAAGUUUUUGGG
rnacentral:rRNA from 1 species